GCAUUCAUUUAUCUACAGUGAGGGGCUAGAACCUGUCGGUCUUUUGGCUUGAACUCCGCUUCAUUUGUUCUCCUCCAUGAUUUGGUAGAAAAGGAGGAAGUAUAAAGCCUGCCUUUGUUUUUGUCAUACUUGGUGAGUCCAAGGGUUUCUAGAAAGUCUGUCCUACAUCUGCAGAGGCAUAUAGUUGGAGCCUGUAUGAGAAGAGGCCUGAAGGAAGAAUAGAUCCCCAUAUCUACUUCUGGAAACAGACCAACAUGUUGCUUUACCACCAAAUUAGAAGUUGUAAUCUCCUCACUUGUCUCCUUACCUCCAGCCUAACCCGAUUUAGGACUGUCUUCUAUUAUGGCCAUGCUUAUCCUGAAAGUUCCC